GGGUUCUUGAGUCAGUGAUUAGGGUUUUGGCGAGCAAUGGGUGCCCGCGGAGGCCCUCUCGACGUCUUAGGCUACGAAUCGCCGCUGGUCUCAGUGGCCGAGUACCAUAGCUCGUGCAAAGCGCUGCUCGAGGCUUUGGAAGCAGAGAUUGGCGACGAAUGCAUGGAAAUGGAUGAACAAAUAAGGGUGGACGAUCUCAAGUUUCUUAGCCCCGACGAUCUCAUCAACAUAGCUGUUGAGAACACGUCUACGCGAGAAAUCUGUCUCACGAACCACGCCAGUAUACUUGCACAAUCGGAGGGGAGACGAAGAGGUGCAAGAACUGGGAGACCUUGUGAUGGACCCUCUAGAGCGACCUUGCAAACGGAUCCUCAAGUCGAAAGCAUGCUUCACAGGCUGAUCGAGGAGCGAAACACAGCGAAGGCAAAUGCGGCUGCCACCCUGCAUUCGCUCCGUGUGACUGAAACUCAAGCGCAAGGUGAUACCAGACGCUUCGGCAGAAGGCUUCGAACUGCUGGUCCAUUGAGGUUUGUGACUUCACUGAUAGAAGAGCCAACCUCGCCGUUAUCUUUGACUGAGGGCAACGAAAUAGCCCCUGGCGCUGAAGUUUUAAUCUCGAUAGAUUUCCACAAUGGGACAAAUUUGAAGAUUCAAGAGCUGGUUGUUCUUGGUAGACAGUCGCUUUGUGAAUUCAGGGAUCAACUCCAUUGUCUGACGGACGAGCUGGCGAGAAAAAAGGGGGUGGCAUCUCCGUCGGGAUACUUACUUAUAGAGGAUGUAUUCUACAAUGACAUGCGACACCCUGACGCCGUCGAUUACAGUGAAAACAUAAUCAGCUGGAUAGCGGAACAAGACGAUACUCGACAGACGAGACGCUCGAGGAGCAAGCUUUCAAAGCUUCCCUCUUUUAAAAAGGCGAGCAUGGAAGAAACGCACUUUCGCGAUCUCAACUUUAAGCUGGGGUCCAAGUACCUCUACUGCCAUCAGGGCGAUUGCAAGCAUGUGUUCGUGAUUCGAGACAUGAGAUUGAUCCAUGAAGACGAUACUCGGAGUCCGUCAACUUAUCCGGUGCUCAGAUUCCUCCCUCGCCUCCGCUACCGCAAGUGCAGCAUUUGCUCCGUGUACCGGGCCAGGAAGAUCGUCCGCGACGACAAGCUCGCCCCGUCAAAUCCUUGCUUCUUCUGCGACAGCUGCUACUAUUCCCUCCACUACUCGUCAGAGGGAGUGCUCCUGUACGAGGACUUCAGCGUCGAGGACUGCCAUCACGAGUGAGUGAUCUCCUUCUUCCUGCGAUCACGGGUCGGCACUGAAAGAACAGGCUCGUAGUACCAUCCAUCCUCCAAAAACUUUGGCCUUCUUUCGAGGAUGAUGCGAACAAUCCAAUCCGCGAUCGAAAGCUUCCAAGGCUGCUACUGUGUAUGGUGAGAGGGUUAGAUUAGUAGUGGAUAAGUGUGAUUCCGUACAAGCCAAAAAUAAAAAGAGAGAGUGUCGACAUUCUGCCGGCGCGUGGACGUGCGGCCUUCCGAGCUCUAAAAGUUUAAAGCCGCGCUACAAUGAGGGCACGCAACCAAGUGUGCUACAAUGCGCUCGUUGCCAGAGAGAGCGGAGCGAUUCGCUGCGCAGCUGGAGCGCGCCAGCGCUUGAUCAGACGAGGUAAAUCUUUGGAGAAUCGGCGCCUUCCUUCUUGAAAUUUUCACGCCGCCGGGGGCUGCGAGUCCAGGAAUGCUGUGCAGCGCGCGGAUUAUUGAAGUGGGAAAGAAGGAAGGGAUCGCGGCGGCGAUGGGAUGAUCGCUGGUAGGAAUUGGCCGAUCGCUUUGGUGCGUAAUGACAUCAGG